rnacentral:tRNA from 1 species
UCGGGUAUGGCCAAGCGGUAAGGCAGUAGGCUCUGACCCUACGAUCGUUAGUUCGAAUCUAACUACCCGAA